rnacentral:rRNA from 1 species
GACAGAGGGGGCAAGCGUUGCUCGGAAUUACUGGGCGUAAAGGGCGCGUAGGCGGUCAGCACAAGUCAGUUGUGAAAUCUCCGGGCUUAACUCGGAAAGGUCAACUGAUACUGUGCGACUAGAGUGCAGAAGGGGCAACUGGAAUUCUCGGUGUAGCGGUGAAAUGCGUAGAUAUCGAGAGGAACACCUGCGGCGAAGGCGGGUUGCUGGGCUGACACUGACGCUGAUGCGCGAAAGCCAGGGGAGCGAACGGG